UACGUAGGGUGCAAGCGUUGUCCGGAAUUAUUGGGCGUAAAGAGCUCGUAGGCGGUUUGUCGCGUCUGCUGUGAAAACCUAAGGCUCAACCUUGGGCUUGCAGUGGGUACGGGCAGACUAGAGUGCGGUAGGGGUGACUGGAAUUCCUGGUGUAGCGGUGGAAUGCGCAGAUAUCAGGAGGAACACCGAUGGCGAAGGCAGGUCACUGGGCCGCAACUGACGCUGGAG
rnacentral:rRNA from 1 species